GCCACGGUGGUCUAGCGGUCAGAACGCUGGCCUUGUAAUCCUGGGGUCUCCGGUUCGAUUCCGGGCGGUGCCC
rnacentral:tRNA from 1 species